AGCUUUGCACAAUGGUAAUAUUGUGGUCAAUGAGGUUUAUCCAAGGUGAGAUUAUGGCUGAUCGAAAACUUUUCUCAGUACACCACCAUGACAGUUUGAAAUAUAGUUGGCAUUGGCAAUUUUUGACAGUUUCUACAGAGA